UAGGAAAAGGCUAUUGCUUUCCCCAAAUCACGCUGACAACAAAAUCCCUUGUCUCUGUUAUCUAUACGCGGCUGUCAUUUGGGGUGAUUUGGGUAAGGUGAGCAGGGGAGAUCCAGGGCGAACACGACGUGCUGCUCGACCUCGUCAUGGCCGGCGCGGCCGUGGCGACGGUGCUGGAGGUUGGUGGCGCGAAGGAGGUAGUUACCAAGCUGACGAAGGGUGCACUGGUUCGCAGAUUUCCCAGCAAUUUUGUGCGUUCCAGUCUUCCCAGCCAUUUCUGAGUCGAGGAGGGGACCGCGCGUUCGAGCAGUUGUUCUUGCGCAUCUCGCCGUCGCUGAUUUGGAAAGGUGGAUGCCGGUCGCCGGGGAGGUCACGGGUGCUGGCGGAGAGCUUUUUCGCUUAGGCUGAUGAAGAGCGACAGAUUUCCCGUCCAAUGAGCGGUGAGAGAUCUCACGGAGGAUGGAGUACCGGUUCAUGGAUUUCCUGGACAAAAUUGUUCUACUUGGUGAAGCUACUGGUGCCAGAGCAUCAAUACCAUGGCGGCAUAGGACAGAAAAUAAUUGUUGACCAAGGCAGACUAAUGGAGAAUGGUUGGAUCCUGAGGCACAGUACAGAGGGGGGACUACUGCUAUGGUCCAUUAGAGGUGUGGGGGUAACAGAGGCAGAUUUGUAUGAGGAGAUAGCGAAAUAAUAAAUAGCACGAAGAUGUGAGCAGCAUGUGUGGGCGGCCACUAUGUUGUUGCCCUCCUCAUUGCCAGUGUUGUUGGACUUCUACCAAAUGUAAGUGCUGAUGAUAAGCAUCAUUCUAAUGCAUAUUAUGGCUUAUAGUUCAUACAUAGCGCUAUAAAGUGGGUUUUUUAUUUGCUGUUACCUUGUCCUAGCAAGAAGGUUUUAACUUGUUAAUUGUAAAAAAAAAUCAUGUGUCAAUUGAGAUA